AGGCGCCCCCCCGGCUGUGACAUCUCUUAACCCACUGAUCACCAGGCUUGAUUCUUGGCUGAUCUGGAUGCCAGGCCUGUGCCCCUUCCUCCCUUAAACACUCAUCUGCCUCCCUCCCUAAGCUGCGUAUUCCUUUGGAGAGGUCAGCCUUCCCCAAUGGAGGAGGACCCUUCUUCGGUGAAGGCUGUACACAGUAGGUGGGCUCCCCUGCUAGAAGCUCCGAACAAGCCCUCAAACUGGAGAUCCUUGACUCGUCUCAAGGGCAGUGGGGUAGGAAAGUGAUGGGUGUUUUUAAAAAGAGUGCUUCCUUU
rnacentral:snRNA from 1 species